GAACAAGCCAGGGCCUCACACUGUGGGCGGCCUCACCCCAGAGCCACAUUCGGCCACCUGGUUCCUUGGUGAAUAAGGAUCGUGUGUGCACACAGUGAGCGGGUGGUGCUUGGCUGUGUGUGGGAUGGCUGUCGACCUGCUCAGGGCUUGCGCUCGUUUAUUGUGUGUGUGUGAGAACACUUCAGUGAACUCUCGGCACUUUUAUAUGUUUAUUCUACUCGUAGAUGGACACAAGGCUUUUGUUUUACGUUUACAUGGUGCUGAGGUUCGGACCAGUGCCUCACACAUGCUAGGCAAGCGCUCUGCCACUGAGCCCAACCCCAGCCCCUCUUGGCACUUUUUAAGAGCUGCACCUUGUCAUCAGCUGCAGUCACCACACUGAGGACAGAUCUCUAGAACUUUCUCCUCCUGCCUGAUGCUCAGUCUUUGCCCAACACCUCCCAAUUCCUCCUCCAGCCAGCCUGGGCCCCACUGUUUGGGGUCACGUGGCACUCCCCCCUCCGUGCCUGGCUUAUUUACAACUCAGUGCCACCUUCCACCACCCGGACUCACUCUUCCAGUGGUAAUGACAUCUGUCACAGAGCCUCAGGCUACCACACUGGGGAAGGCCCAACCUUCUGUGUCAGAUGGGAAUCCAGCAAAAAAUUCUCAUCCAACUGGUGAAGACAAGAAGGGAAUUUGUUGGCUCAUAAAUAUAUGAGCUGGCUUCAGGCAGGGUUGGAUCCACUAUCUCCCUUGUGUCCUCAAGGCUUGGUCUGUGUCCCGUGGGUCUGUUUUGUCCUGUGCUUCAAUUGAAGUCAGACUCAAGCAGCCUUGAGUGGACCAGCUCUUCUCACAGCCCAUCAGCAAGGGCGUGUCUCCAACCCACUAGUUCUAGUGCAGAUAUCAGGAUCUGGACUCUGCUUUGCUUUUACCUUUGCAGUGCCGGGAGUGUACCCAUUCCCCAACCAAUGCCUAGGGCUGGCCAGGCCUGGUGACAUGGGCUGCUCCUGCGAGGUGGGACUGGCCCGGGGAGGGGCUUCCACCAGAGAAACAAGGUGGCCUUCACAGAGGUGAAUCAUGUGACAGGAAGCAAGGCCCUGGGGCACACCCACUGUGGGACAGCCCUGCUGAAUCAUCUGGUGCUAGGGAUGGGAGCCCGGGUGAGGGUCCCUCCCAGGCACACCCCAGCCCGGGUCUUCGCAGUGCUCAGGAAUUCCUUGCUCGGGGCCAGCUGUGGCAGCCCAGACUUUCCUUGGUGUCCCAGUGAUGUAGAAGUGGCCAGAGCUUGGCCCUGAGCACCACCGGCAUCCACUGGGUGGCCACCCCAGCUGGCCAGCCCGUCCUUUCCCAGGAUAUGAGGCACGUGUUGUCUUUGCUUUGCAACCUAAAGCACAGGUGGCGGAGCAAGGAGCCCCGAAGCUCGGGAUCAACUCCAGCGUUCCCCAGUUCAUGACUGUAGGACUCGGGUGCUGGGGUCACGCAUGUCCUGGCCUGGCGGCAGGGGCUUCCCGGGGACUUGGGCUGAGGCCGCCACAGCGCCACCAUUGAGCGCCCCCUCCCUGGCCGCAUCCGGCAGCGCGCAGCUGCCCAGAGACCCUCUCUGGCGUGGGGCGCAGCAGGCGGCUGGGCAGGGAGAGUGGGAAGCAGGGCCGCGGGCUGCCCUUGGAGGGGUGGGUUCUGGGUUCUAGCUCAGUCUUCCCUCUGCCCUGCUGUCCCCCGGUGACCGCAGCAUCUAACCAUCCCUCCGAGGGGCAAAGGGUUCGCUUCUCGGCGACCCGGCCGGCGCUUGCUGGUUUCUGGUUUUGUUUUGUCUUGAUGUCAGCCAUCCCAAUAGGUGGCGUCAAGUGCUUCUCCGAUGUUCUCCGAUGGACUUUUAUUAAGAGGUAGAUUCACAUGCAGUUAUCAGAAGUGACAGAGAUUCUGUCUGUUACCCUUGAUGAGAACAUCGCACAGAACCGGAGGGCCCCAUCCCAACCAGGGUGUGGCAUGGCGGUGUGGGCACAGGCCACCUGCCCCAGUGCCCUCUGGCCACCCCCUCGUGCCUGUCAGCGCCUGCAGCUCCGCCCUUUUGGGGCGUGGUCUCUGGGGCAUCUGGAAGCGUGUGGCCUUUCCAGUUGGCUGGCCCAGAGCCUCUGCCCCUGCUCCCCAGCCCCUGACCCUCAGGGAGCCAGGGGACAGUGAACGUUGAGGGCCGAUUUAGGCUGACGUGUUUUUUGGUGCUGGGACUGGAACCCAGGGCUUCCCGUUGCUCGUGUGCUCUGCCUUGAGCUGCGCUCCCGCAGGACAGGUCUGGACUUCUUUCUUGUCCAGCGAGGCUUGGCCGAGCUCCUGCGGGCCGCCCCAUUCCACCUGUGGGGGGCAGUGGCCAGGCCCAUCACGUGUGUGUCCUACCCCAGGUACGUCCGCGGCAGCUGUCUGAGAAGGACGCAGUACAAGUGUCCAUCCCCGGGACCUCUGUACAGGGAUGGCUUAGAGCGACUGUUGGCCCGGAGCCCCCGCCAGGCUGCGGGUCGACAUCCAGGGCAUGGGUGACCUCCAGCAGGCGCCAGAGGCCCGCGCCCAGGAGCUCACAGCAGCGUGGCUUUUUAAACUAAACUUAAAAGGCUGGAAUAGUUUUAGAUUUGUGGAUAAGUUGCAAAUUUAAUAUAGAGAAUUCUUGUAUAUUUUCCCCAAACCACCAGUUUCCCCUUAAGAUUGACGUCUCCCUGACUCGGUGGUGUCAUACCCACGUGGCAACGAACAUCAGUUACUGCUUAGCCACGGGCAGCGUCUCCGGCUGUCCCAGCAUGUCCUGGAAUGCCCUUUUCCUGUUCCAGGACCUAUCCAGGAUCUCACAUUACACACAAAAGCAUUGGUUUUUUUCCCUUAAAAAAUAAAUAUAUUGAGAUAAAAAUUGCACACCAUAUAAUUCAUGUAUUUUGGGUGUACGAUUAGAUGCUUUUAGUGUGUUCACAGAGUUACAGAAAUAUCUCUGCUAUUCAAUUCCAGCACAUUUUUGUCAUUCCCCAGAGAAACUCUGAUCAUCAGUUGGUCGCCUCCCAGGCACCCCAGCCUCUCUCUGGCCACCACGGUCCCUUCUCGUCUGCUGCUGCCCCCCGCCCCCUGCCCCCAUGUGUAGUAAAGUGGAGUCUCACACUGGGACUGGCUUCUUGGACUGUCGCUGUGUUGAAAAAGAGUAUUUUAAAUAUUUAAUACAGACUUGAUUUUGGGCUCACAACAAAAUUGAGAGCAAAAUCCAGGCGGUUCCCACACCCUGUCCCUGCACGCGCACAGCUGCCCCGCUCUCGGCAGCUUGCCCUACACCAUGGCGUGUGCACCCAGAGGGCUUCGCUCACCCUGAGGUUCACCCUUGCUGUUGGACAGUCCUUGGAUUCGGACAAAGUUUUCCCAAUGUGAAGCCCCUGUUACGGGACUGCCCUUAAAAUCCUCCCCUCCAAAAUGUCUUUAGUAGUGAAAAGUGGGAAACAGGUAAGCAUCCAUCAGUGGAUGGACAGGUGCAUACAUCUUAAUGUAUUCGUAUAGAGUGAUUCUGUCCGGCUGUGAACAGGAACCCUGCGGAUGUGUGUCAUCCUGGACUGUCACACGAGAAGCUGGAGAAGGACUUGUCGCCAAGAACUGGAUACCAUCCAUGGCUGCAGCACUUCCCAAGGGCCUUCGUGUGGGGCUGCAAGCCUGUCAUUCUCCAGCAGGGAGUAGAGUGUCUAUGGAAGGUUCUAGACCAUGAGCACUAACCCUACAUGUUGCUUAUGGACACAUGCAUGCAAUAAGAGCAUAAAACACGCACAGAAAUGCUGACUAAGUGCAGGGCAUCCUGGCCUCCUGAUGGGGGAAGCAGGUGGCAGUGGAGGGUUCCCAUUGGUAUUUGCCAUGUCCAGCUGGGAGGUGGACAUGUGUUGGCACCUCUCCAUUGCUUUGGUGUGCGCGGUGGCUUUCAUAAUAAAUUUUUAAAAGAGCAAAGAUCAAUGCAAGAGUGUGUGUGGAGGGAGCUAUAUUUGGGGUUUUCAAAGGAUUCAUCUAUAUUUGCUCCCAGACGCAUGCUCUAGCCCUGGACAAAAUCCUAAAUAGACCUGAGCUCUCAGGGAGGGACCCUGUGGAUAGGGAGGGGAGGUUUUUCUCUGAUAACUUUUGAAUUUUCCAUGACAUGUAUUAUUACCUAUUUAUUAAAAAGUAAUCCAACUUAUCUUUGGA
rnacentral:lncRNA from 1 species